GUGUGUAGUGGGAUGAAAACUGUCCAUGCAUCUUCUAUCAAGAGUGAUAUUGGGUGGGCAUUGCUGAUAUUUUAGGGGGCCUUAUAGUUAGGCAUUUGAGAGAACUUUCCCACCAAUAUCUUGGUCCCCUUUUUCCCCCGUGAGCUAAUGGUUAGGACCAUGUUACUGAAAACUGAGUACCUGGACCUGGUUUCAUGAUAAAGAUUGGUGUUUUAUUUAUUAUAAAAUUUUAAUUAUUGUAGACAUCUUGCCUUCGUACCUGUGAAGCCUAGUUUCUUUCUUUUUAAAGUUACAAGUGUGAUGCAGGCUUGACUAUGUUAAAGAGAGGGGUUACUGAAAGUUCUGGUUAGUUUUUGUCAAAUUGCAUCUCUUUUUAAUGCUUUAGUUGGAACUAGGUUCAAUGUAAGGCUAGGGUCAGAAGAAAGCCGCACAUCUGAUGUCAUCUCUGUUAUUUUGGUAGAUGUGCAAUUUUUAAUUGGUUAUUUGGAUGCAAAUGUUAAGAGAGCAGGGUGAAUGAGAGACUCAAAUGGGCCUUCUGCUAAUUUAUUUCUCAUAACAAUUUGGUGGAGAUUUGACUGCAUAUUUUCUCACUG
rnacentral:misc_RNA from 1 species